GACGAACGCUGGCGGCGUGCUUAACACAUGCAAGUCGAACGGUGAAAGCGGAGCUUGCUCCGCUGGAUCAGUGGCGAACGGGUGAGUAACACGUGGGCAACCUGCCCUUCACUUCGGGAUAACUCCGGGAAACCGGGGCUAAUACCGGAUAUGACCUCUGCGGGCAUCCGCGGAGGUGGAAAGUUUUUCGGUGAAGGAUGGGCCCGCGGCCUAUCAGCUUGUUGGUGGGGUGAUGGCCUACCAAGGCGACGACGGGUAGCCGGCCUGAGAGGGUGACCGGCCACACUGGGACUGAGAUACGGCCCAGACUCCUACGGGAGGCAGCAGUGGGGAAUAUUGCACAAUGGGCGCAAGCCUGAUGCAGCGACGCCGCGUGAGGGAUGACGGCCUUCGGGUUGUAAACCUCUUUCAGCACCGACGAAGCGCAAGUGACGGUAGGUGCAGAAGAAGGACCGGCCAACUACGUGCCAGCAGCCGCCGUAA
rnacentral:rRNA from 1 species